UCAGAAAGGCCUCAGAAUUUUAAUUCACCAAUCCUCAUCUCUGCCGGAGCUCUCUGCGUCCUUAAGGAGCUGACCUUAUUUUUAUACCAUACCUAGAGUUUAUUAGACAUUUUAGCACAUGCAGAAGAGGAGAUGCCAUGCAGUUACUUUAAUAUUUAACCAUCGUAAGGUCAUACAUAUGUGGCUAAGCCAGCCUAGAUCAUGGACCGGUGACCCAAAAUGACAAGAGAACAUCUUUUAAAAGUGAAAUGGGAGGGCAAGGGAAGGAAGAACACUCUUAUUUUUGCAGUGGGUAGGAAGUGUGACAAAGCUGCUCUAAAUGAAGUUAGCCAAGGACUAGAGAAACGAAGCCCUCACUCUGGAGAGGAGGGCAGUUAUAUCCAGGGGCUGGGGGUGGGUUCGGAAUCACUGGUUCCUGUCCACUUGCUUUUUCUGUGGUUUGAUGACUUGAGGGACACAUUUCCCUUUUACACCUGAGCUGACUUCAUGCCUUUGAGAGGCUGGGUCACCCUCAAUCCAUGUUCACCCUCGGGCUCGGAGGACACUCCAUAUCCUUUUCUUCUUAAGCUACGUGGGGCUGGUUUAUGUUACCUGUACCUCAGAGUCUUAACUAAGACUGCUGCUUUCGUGACAGACAGGUCUAGCGGGGCCUGCGGAAAGGUACCUCCCCAAGCGCAGAGGAAGAGAGAGAAUGGCUGGAGAUGAAGGGGGCCUCAGCUUUAUUAGAUAAUGAGCCCUCGCAGAAGGGGAAAUUGGAGCUUCUGGAUUUGGGUCACACAACCCCACAUGGGAGGAGCUUCAGGUGCAUCUAAGAUGUCACCUGAAUAUCUGCCUAAGCCAAGCUGUUUCUGACUUUAACCAAAGCAGGAACGUGAGUGCCCCCAAAUGGCAUCCAAAGACCGGGGUUGGGGGGAGAAGGGGAGAUUCCUGUGUUUGCACGUUUUACCUACACUCCGGUCUCCAGGUUUGAAGAAGAGCCUUGAGUUUACACCAGAGAGUAAACAAGAGAGCUAUUUGGACGUCACAUACCACUUUGCCAGUUUCCGUUUCUCUUCAAUUAUUUACCUCCUAAUUGUCUACAGUGAAACAGAAUCUGCAAACAGAAUCCAAGAUGUGGCCUCCUGAGUGAGCUGAGCCGGGAAAGCUGGAGUUGAGUGAAGUAGUUUGUGCUGGCUGGUUUUCUGUCAACUGGACCCAAGCUAGAGUCAUCAGAAAGGAGGAACCCUCACUGAGAUAAUACCUCCAUAAGAUCUGGCCAUAGGCAAGCUUACGGGGCAUUUUCUUACUUAGUGAUUAAAGUGGGAGGGCCAAGACCCUUGUGGGUAGGGCCACCUCUGAGCUGGUGAUCCUGGGUUCUAUAAGAAAGCAGGCUGAGCAAGCCAUGAGGAGCGAGCCAGUGAGCAGCAUCCCUCCGUGCGCUCCCCAUUAGCUCCUGCCUCCGGGUCCUGCCUUGUUCUUGACGUCUCUCAGCGAUGGACUGUGAUGUGGAAGUGUUAGACAAAGAAACCUUUUCCUUCCCAGUUACUUUUGGUCAAAAGUGUUUAAUCAAAGCAAUAGAAAUCCUGAGACACAGUUGGAUAUCCUGUGGAGCUGGCACUGGCAGAGACAGAGUCUGAGUGAGAAGAAACCUUAGAGUUCUGGUCCAGUCUCCUCUAAGGUCCAGUGCUUCUGCAGGGCUAGUUACUUUGGGCCAUAAUCUAGACUAUUGCCUCAACUGACUAUGCCUGCAAGUGCCCCUAAGUCUUGGUUUCUUCUCUUUAAAAGACAGAAUACAAAAGGGCUGGGAGGGAAAGUAAGUCUCUCAUUAGAGUGAAAAAAAAAAAGACCUAACACUAUGACUAAUUUUGUGUUCAUUCAUGCCAAUCACAGAAAAAAUAUUAAUAGCCAUGAAAACAAGGAAAAUGUCCUAAAGUAGAAGACUUAGAAAAACAAUGACACGAAUCUAAUCCACUGUAGUCUCGCUGCUUGUACUGGUUACUCUCCUCCUUGCUGUGACGUACAAUAGACAAAGCAACUCAAGGAAGGAGGAAGCCAAAGCUCACAGUUUGACAACACAGCCCAUCACUGUGGAGAAGCAAUGGUGGCAGGAGCCUGAGGCAGCUGGCCUCUUCAUCCACAGUCAGGAUGCAGAGAGGAACCAAUAUUGGCGCUCGACUCAUUUUUUUCUUCUUCUUACUCAAUUCACAACUCUAAUCCAAUGAUUGUUCUACCUACAGUUAGAAUGGUUCUCUCUACUCCAGCUAACUGAAUCCAGAAACCCUUCUCUCAGACAUAGCUAGAGGUUUGUCUUCUAGAUGAGUCUACUUCCUGUCAACAAUCAAUAUUAUCCAGCCCGUUGCUCAAUAGGAAUUUCUCAGGAACAUUUUGAUAUAUUUUCUUUUAGUUUUCUCUCUACAUAAUACCAAUGAGAAUACUAUAAUUUUUAAAAACUUUUAUUUGUAUGGGGGAGGGGCUCAUGUUAUAUCUAGAACGGAGUCAGAGGGUGUUUAUCACAUGGGUUCUGGGGAUCAAACUCAGACUGCAGGCUUGGUUGGCUGGCAAGCUCCUUUACCUGUUGAGCCAUCUUGCCGACCUGAGAAGUACUGUAUUAUUUAUAGCCUAGUUUUCCUAUUGACAGUUUAUAAUAAGCUUCUUUUCAGUGUCAAUAAAUACUUUAGUUUGCUCUCUGUUGCUGUGAUAAAACACCAUGACCAAAGCCAACUUGGAAAGGAAAGGAUUCAUUUCAUCUUAGGACUCCCCAAUCACAAUUCAUCACUGAGGGAAGUCAGGGCAAGAACUGAGCCAGAGACCAUGGAGGAACGCUGCUUACUGGCUUGCCUGGCUACCUUACUUACACAGCCCAUUUAUCUAGAAUGGUACCGCCCACAGUGGACUGGGCCCUCCCAUAUCAACCAGCAAGUCUGAUGGAGGCAAUUCCUCAGUUGGGAUUUCCUUUUCCUAAGUGACUCUGGUUUGUGUCCAGUGGACAAAACUAACCAGAAUAAUAAAGGCAAGACUUUUAAUGAUGAAUUAUUUCAUUAUAAGGAGAUACACGAUCUGAACUCGGUGGAUUCCUUUGGUUUCACUUUAAAACGCAGUUUGGGAGCUAGGGAAGAUGGUGACAACGACUUAGUCACAAGUUGAUGGUGCAAAUGAAGAGCAAACCUGAAAACAGCUCUUCCCAGCCCCAGUGACACCCCAUCUCCCACCCCACCAGGCAAGAAUAGCCCCUGAAAAUAAAGUGAGGAAAAGGGAGUGGAGCAGUUAAGGUCUGGGGUGUAUUCGAGUGCCUAGGUGAAGGCCACACAUGGUCCUAGUAGUGCCAUUUGCCACCUUUCUAUUCAUAUUUCCUUCCAAUUCUUCUUCUAAGGCAUAGGACACCCCCUCCUGCCACCCCUGUUCACAUAGCUGAAAUCUACAGUAUGGAAACCUAGCUUAUUUUCAUUGAUGUAAACUCAUACUUCGGGCUUGACUUGUGUAAGUUUAGGGUCAAGGAAAGGAAACAUGUGUUAACUGAAAAAGAUGAGUUAUCCACUUGUCACUUUGGGUCUUAUCUACACCAGCAGGGGCAACUUGAAGUUUGCAAGAAAACUGGUCCAUGUCUUCCAAAAUGGAUUUUGGGGUAGAGAAUGAAGGAGGAGGCAGACACACCCUGCAAGAUGGAGAAUGUCACCUCUUUCUUCCUCAGACAUCUGGGGGAGGGGACAGGGCUCUGCAGAUGCUGCUGAAGACUCUAAAGCUUGAGGAGUCCCAAUUUACAGAAACUUCUAGAGAGAUAGGACCACAAUCCUAAUCCAAGCACGUCAGAUUGUACCUCCGGACGCCGUCAGUUGUAUAAACAAAUACAAUUAUUUUUCUUUAUA